UACAGAGGGUGCAAGCGUUAAUCGGAAUUACUGGGCGUAAAGGGCGCGUAGGUGGUUUGAUAAGUUUGAUGUGAAAUCCCUGGGCUUAACCUAGGACGUGCAUUGAAGACUGUGAGACCAGAGUACUGUAGAGGGUAGGGGAAUUUCCGGUGUAGCGGUGAAAUGCGUAGAGAUCGGAAGGAACACCAGUGGCGAAGGCGCCUACCUGGACAGAUACUGACACUGAGGCGCGAGAGCGUGGGUAGCAAACAGG
rnacentral:rRNA from 1 species